rnacentral:misc_RNA from 1 species
UACCUCUCAAUCCCGCUGCCCCUUUACCGGGGCGGCCGUCAGGGUUGGAUCAUGGCGCCCCUGUCGUCCUUGCACGACUGCGCUGAAUUGCAGCAAGCCGAAUCCUCAGGCUAGGCGGCUUGACCCGUUGUCAUAAGCUCACACUUUCAACGGGAACGCCAGCCGGAACGGGCUUACCACAAACCCAUCUUAUUA